rnacentral:rRNA from 1 species
CCCUUAGAUGUUCUGGGCUGCACGCGCGCUACACUGAAGCGUUCAACGAGUAUUCACCUUGCCCGGGAGGGUUGGGUAAUCUUUUGAAAACGCUUCGUGAUGGGGAUAGAUUAUUGCAAUUAUUAAUCUUGAACGAGGGAUUCCUAGUAAACGCAGAUCAUCAAUCUGCAUUGAUUACGUCCCUGCCCUUUGUACACACCGCCCGUCGCACCUACCGAUUGGAUGGUCCGGUGAAGCCUCGGGAUUGUGGUUCUUGCCGCUUUAUUGUGGCGUGACCGCGAGAACUUGUCUAAACCUUAUCAUCUAGAGGAAGGUGAAGUCGUANCA